GACAGAGGGUGCAAACGUUGUUCGGAAUUACUGGGCGUAAAGCGCGUGUAGGCUGCUCAGAAAGUCGGAUGUGGAAGCCCUGGGCUUAACCUAGGAAGUGCAUUCGAAACUUCUGAGCUUGAGUUCUGGAGAGGAAGGCGGAAUUCUCGGUGUAGAGGUGAAAUUCGUAGAUAUCGAGAGGAACACCGGUGGCGAAGGCGGCCUUCUGGACAGUGACUGACGCUGAGACGCGAAAGCGUGGGGAGCAAACAGG
rnacentral:rRNA from 1 species